rnacentral:rRNA from 1 species
AGCGUGAGCAUGUGUUAUUCGACGCAACGCGAAGAACCUUACCUGGGCUUGAACUGCUUGGGCUUUUCCCAGAAACGGGAAGGUUCCUUCGGGGACCCAAGUAGAGGUGCUGCAUGGCUGUCGUCAGCUCGUGUCGUGAGGUGUUGGGUUAAGUCCCGCAACGAGCGCAACCCUCGUCCUGUGUUGCCAUUUUGGGACUCACAGGAGACCGCCAGCGAUAAGCUGGAGGAAGGUGGGGACGACGUCAAGUCAUCAUGGCCUUUAUGUCCAGGGCUACACACGUGCUACAAUGGGUGGUACAACGGGUUGCGAAGCCGUGAGGCGGAGCUAAUCCCUAAAAACCAUCCCCAGUUCGGAUGCAGGCUGCAACUCGCCUGCAUGAAGUUGGAAUCGCUAGUAAUGGCGUAUCAGAACGACGCCGUGAAUACGUUCCCGGGCCUUGUACACACCGCCCGUCACAUCACGAAAGUGGAUUGUACUAGAAAUCCGUGCCUUACUUCGGAGGA